rnacentral:rRNA from 2 species
GGUCAAGCUAACCUAUGGACGUGGAUAACCUCGGGAAACUGAGAAUAAACCGCGAUAGAUCAUGAUGCCUGGAAUGGCUCAUGGUCGAAAUAGUUUACUGCCGUAGGAUGCGACUGCGGCCUAUCAGUUUGUUGGUGAGGUAAUGGCCCACCAAGACUAUUACAGGUACGGGCUCUGAGAGGAGAAGCCCGGAGAUGGGUACUGAGACACGGACCCAGGCCCUAUGGGGCGCAGCAGGCGAGAAACCUUAGCAAUGUGCGAAAGCACGACUGGGUUAGUCCGAGUGAUUCCUGCUAAAGGAAUCUUUUGCCGGUCCUAAAAGCACCGGUGAAUAAGGGGUGGGCAAGUCUGGUGUCAGCCGCCGCGGUAAUACCAGCACCUCGAGUGAUCAGGACGUUUAUUGGGCCUAAAGCAUCCGUAGCUGGCUUUGCAAGUCUCCGGUUAAAUCAACCUGCUCAACAGAUUGGCCGCUGGAGAUACUACAAGGCUAGGGAGUGGGAGAGGCAGACGGUAUUCGGGGGGUAGGGGUAAAAUCCUCUGAUCCUCUGAGGACCACCAGUGGCGAAGGCGGUCUGCCAGAACACGUUCGACAGUGAGGGAUGAAAGCUGGGGGAGCAAACCGGAUUAGAUACCCGGGUAGUCCCAGCUGUAAACGAUGCAAACUCGGUGAAGCAUUGGCUUAAUGCUAAUGCUGUGCCGCAGGGAAGCCGUUAAGUUUGCCGCCUGGGAAGUACGGUCGCAAGAUUGAAACUUAAAGGAAUUGGCGGGGGAGCACCACAAGGGGUGAAGCCUGCGGUU